GAUGAACGCUGGCGGCGUGCCUAAUACAUGCAAGUCGAGCGAACAGACGAGGAGCUUGCUCCUCUGACGUUAGCGGCGGACGGGUGAGUAACACGUGGAUAACCUACCUAUAAGACUGGGAUAACUUCGGGAAACCGGAGCUAAUACCGGAUAAUAUAUUGAACCGCAUGGUUCAAUAGUGAAAGACGGUUUUGCUGUCACUUAUAGAUGGAUCCGCGCUGCAUUAGCUAGUUGGUAAGGUAACGGCUUACCAAGGCAACGAUGCGUAGCCGACCUGAGAGGGGGAUCGGCCACACUGGAAAUGAGAAACGGGCCAGACUCCUACGGGAGGCAGCAGUAGGGAAUAUUCCGCAAUGGGCGAAAGCCUGAAGGAGCAAAGCCGCGGGAGUGAUGAAGGUUUUUGGAUCGUAAAAAUCUGUUAUUAGGGAAGAAAAAAUGUGUAAGUAACUGUGCACAUCUUGACGGUACCCAAUCAGAAAGCCAAGGCUAACUAAGGG
rnacentral:rRNA from 1 species